AGACAAUAGAUUGGAAGGAUUGUCCAAAUCUGGAAUUGCAGGAACUUAGAGGCCAUCAACUGAGGAAUGAAGAAUGCAAGUCAGUGGCAGCUAUAGAACGUAUUGAACUUCGUAACUGUGGAGUACAAUCUAUUUUCCUUUAUAAGACUGGGGUUGGAGAACAAAGUUCAACAUUUAAAUACCUU